UACGUAGGGGGCAAACGUUGCUCGGAAUUACUGGGCGUAAAGGGUGUGUAGGUGGCUGAGCAAGUCGACGAUGAAAUCCCGAGGCUUAACCUCGGAAUUGUUUUCGAAACUGCCCAGCUUGAGGAUAGUUGAGGAGAACGGAAUUCCCGGUGGAGCGGUGAAAUGCGUAGAUAUCGGGAGGAACACCAGAGGCGAAGGCGGUUCUCUGGACUAUUCCUGACACUGAAACACGAAAGCUAGGGGAGCGAACGGGAUUAGAUACCCGCGUA
rnacentral:rRNA from 1 species